rnacentral:lncRNA from 1 species
CUACACUGAACUCUGGAGCUCCUAGCAGAAUGAACCUCUAGUUGCCCAUGGUGGGAACUUGCCUGAUAAUAUUCUUUAUUGGCUGCCUUCCUGUCCCUGCCUCAUUUCUCAUUUCCCUGCCAGCAGAUGUUGCGUUCACCUUCCACAUAAAUUACCUUCAAUCUUCAUUGUAGAGUUUACUUCCAGAGGGACCCAAAUGACCAUGGCAUAGGACAAAGCUCGGGGGCUCUGUGAGCCUAGAAGAGGAGGCACUGAGCCCAGCUGGGACAGAGGUCCACAGAAGAUCCCUGAAGGAAAAGAAUGGAAGGAAAAGAAUGGAGACCUCAAGGAGUCCCCAGGGACAACUGAAAGAUUGUCGGCAAGGGAGUGCCAGCCAGUGGGCC